rnacentral:ncRNA from 1 species
CAACCUGAGCUCAGUCGUGAUUACCCGCCGAACUUAAGCAUAUCAUUCAGCGGAGGAAAAGAAACUAACUAGGAUUCCCCAAGUAAUGGCGAAUGAAAGGGGAAGAGCCCAGCGCUGAAUCUCUCGGUCUUAGGCCGCUGAGAACUGUAGCGUAUAGGUGUGACUGUCCUGCUAUAUUGCAUUUCCGAAGUCUCUUUGAUAGGGGCCAACAUCCAGAGAGGGUGCGAGACCUGUACGGAAAGUAGUAUAGUUGGUAUGGUUACUCCUUGGAGUCGGGUUGCUUGAAAGUGCAGCCUAAAGUUGGUGAUAAACUUCAUCUAAGGCUAAAUAUCGACGCGAAAUCGAUAGCAAACAAGUACCGUGAGGGAAAGUUGCAAAGAACUUUGUAAGAGAGAGUUCAAGAGAACGUGAAAUCGCUGAAGUGGAACCGGAGAGAGUUAACAUAACUUGGUAGCUAUAUCCUCUAAAGUCGCUUAACUGUGGCUCUGGGGGGUGGACGCUACCUGUUGUUGCACUGACUGCGUUGAUUGUGCUUUCCGAACAGUAUAGUGUUGCCCACUUUGUGGUGUCUUGCUUUCUGGGAGGUUUGUCAUAAUUAACGUAAAGCCAAUUCCCUUUGGAGUCAGUGUGAAAGUUAACCACCUUUCCGACCCGUCUUGAAACACGGACCGAGGAGUGUAAUUUAUACGCGAGUCAAGGGGUGGUGAAAACCCUAGGGGCGGAAUGAAAGUAAAGGCCGGUUAACCGGUUGACAUGGG